rnacentral:rRNA from 1 species
GAUGAACGCUGGCGGCGCGCUUAACACAUGCAAGUCGAGCGAGAACCAGACCUUCGAGUCUGGGGACAGCGGCGAACGGGUGAGUAACACGUGGGUAAUCAACCCUCGGUACUGGGAUAGCCGGGGGAAACCCGGAUUAAUUCCGGAUGGCCCUUCGGAUCUUCGGUUCUGAAGGAAAAGGUAGCUUCGGCCUCCGACCGAGGACGAGCCCGCGGCGGAUUAGCUUGUUGGUGGGGUAACGGCCUACCAAGGCUCCGACCUGUAGCUGGUCUGAGAGGACGAUCAGCCACACUGGGACUGAGACACGGCCCAGACUCCUACGGGAGGCAGCAGUGGGGAAUCUUGCGCUAAUGCGGGGAACCGUGACGCAGCGACGCCGCGUGAGGGAAGAAGGCCUUCGGGUUGUAAACCUCUUUCAGGAGGGACGAAGCUACUCGGGUUAAUAGCCCAGAGGGUGACGGUACCUCCAGAAGAAGCCCCGGCUAACUACGUGCCAGCCGCCGCCGUAA